GUGCUAAAAAAAACUCAGAUUACUUUUGAGAGUGUCUAAAUAAAAUGUGUAAAAGUAGCUGUGAGUGGUACAGGGGGCAGCUGAGGAGGAAAAGAAAGACAGGAAAUGUGGAAUAAAGAGAGAAAAAAAAGACAGACUGUGGUCCUUUUCCCAGACUGAUUAACUAAUGACCAUCAUUUUGUGCGUUGAUAUGCUUUAGUUUCAUCAGCCUCUUCAGGGCUUAUGCUAAUGCGUGUCAUUUAUACCCACGCAGCUUCUAGUUCAUGAUUAGACAUAUAAACAUUCUGGCAACCUUUGACCUCUCUGUCCCCCAGACGGUUGAUUGGCAGGCGGUUCACUGUGUUUUUUCUUCCACAGACGCUGAUACGGGACUGUGCAUGAGGGAAUUUCUUGAAAAUGUGCAUGCACGAGUGUUUUUUGGAGCAUGUCUGUGCUUGCAAAUUAGAAAGCAAAAAAAGUGUGUUUUUCUGGGCCCCUGUCAGCUCUGUUCCUGCAAGAGCCAGUGCAGAUUGUAGCUCAGACAUGACAGUAUUUGUGUACACAGAACAAGACGGCGGAGAUGUUGGAGGAAGCAAAGGCAAGAUUGUUGUUACAAUGUGUCUUAAACUGUCAAUUCAAAAUGCCGUUUGACAACCAACCCCUCUGUUUCAAGCUUAUUUUUACAGCAUGUGAAUGUAAGCUCAUCUGUUCCAGUCUUUAGGAUUCAAAGGUAUUCUUUGGAGCUCUAAAACUGGACGGGACUUUUAUACUUCAAACUGCACACUCUUUCAAAACAGAGGUUCAAAAGCUCACUGCAUCACAGAAGUCAUUCAGAAAUGCGCAAGUCUCUGCAACUCAAACAAGCAGCAAGACAGUCAGUGCGUUUACACGCACAGCUUAAUCAAGCUAAGCUCAUAAUUUGUUUUUUUCCCCGAAUCGGACUUCUCUCCUUGUCCGCGUAUACAUGCAGAUGAGAAAAUCGAAUUAUUGACGUGAAUGUGUCCUCCUCCCCAAAACUAGAGGCCGAUAUCGGUCUUUUCAGCUGUGCUGUUUCCGACCCCAUACAAUUGUCAACAACAACAGCAGGUCCGUGCCAGACGCCAGAAGUGGCUACAACUGCUGCUGGGCGUUUUUCAUGUAAGAAGAUGGAGCACUGUACAGCGUUGUUUUUGUCGUACAUGAUGUACUUUUUCUGCAGAUGAGAUGCAAGCUACUGCUCUUCUUUGGUGUUUUUGUUCCAGGGUUAUGGGGGCGGUGUACAUGCACACAUGCAUUGUCCAAUCAUACUCCAACUACGCUGGUUACAUGGUAGAGAAAAUCAAAUGCCAAUCAGAGUUCUCAAACUAAGGUCAGACUAAGCAGGUGGUCUUAAUCGGAGUAAGGCAAUAAUUCAGUUUUCUCAAGUGUCAUGUAAACAUACUGAGUGUUGCAAAACUGAGCCAUUGUGUAGGUGCAAAAAACUGCAGUUCCUAAAGUGUCCACUUGAGGCUGUCUCAAAAAGCUGAAGGAAGCCUAUUAAAAACAUUCUUUCUAAGUAGAGUGUAUUUGCCGAUAAAUGGUUGUUGAAAUGUGUGAAAAGUAUGUACCAUGGAAGAACUGAAUUUUAAAAAUUAUUCAUUAAACCGAUUUGUGAUGUUUUUAUCUGCAGGAUUUCUUGGGUGGGGUUGGAAGGGAUACCUCAUGAUGCCUCCUUAACAUAACGCCACCCCUUCAGAGUAUAACAGUAUAAAAAGUGGUGCUAACAUGAGCAUUGAUGCUCAGCCUGCUCAGUCUCGACCUCCACUACAGCUGGUGUAUCUUUGCUCAAGUGUACAGUGUGCUAUCCAUAGACUGUAUGUACUAUGGACAACUUGGUUCCGCCUUCUGCC